UGGGGAAUUUUGGACAAUGGACGCAAGUCUGAUCCAGCCAUGCCGCGUGCGGGAAGAAGGCCUUCGGGUUGUAAACCGCUUUUGUCAGGGAAGAAACGAGUUUCUCUAAUACAGAGACUUAAUGACGGUACCUGAAGAAUAAGCACCGGCUAACUACGUGCCAGCAGCCGCGGUAAUACGUAGGGUGCAAGCGUUAAUCGGAAUUACUGGGCGUAAAGCGUGCGCAGGCGGUUAUAUAAGACAGAUGUGAAAUCCCCGGGCUCAACCCGGGAACUGCAUUUGUGACUGUAUAGCUAGAGUACGGCAGAGGGGGAUGGAAUUCCGCGUGUAGCAGUGAAAUGCGUAGAUAUGCGGAGGAACACCGAUGGCGAAGGCAAUCCCCUGGGCCUGUACUGACGCUCAUGCACGAAAGCGUGGGGAGCAAACA
rnacentral:rRNA from 1 species